AUUGAACGCUGGCGGCAUGCUUUACACAUGCAAGUCGGACGGCAGCGGGGUAGUGCUUGCACUACUGCCGGCGAGUGGCGAACGGGUGAGUAAUAUAUUGGAACGUACCGAGUAAUGGGGGAUAACCAAUCGAAAGAUUGGCUAAUACCGCAUACGCUCUGAGGAGGAAAGCAGGGGACCUUCGGGCCUUGCGUUAUUCGAGCGGCCAAUAUCUGAUUAGCUAGUUGGUGGGGUAAGGGCUUACCAAGGCGACGAUCAGUAGCGGGUCUGAGAGGAUGAUCCGCCACACUGGGACUGAGACACGGCCCAGACUCCUACGGGAGGCAGCAGUGGGGAAUUUUGGACAAUGGGCGCAAGCCUGAUCCAGCCAUGCCGCGUGUCUGAAGAAGGCCUUCGGGUUGUAAAGGACUUUUGUUAGGGAAGAAAAAGGAGCGGUUAAUACCCGUUUCUGCUGACGGUACCUAAAGAAUAAGCACCGGCUAACUACGUG
rnacentral:rRNA from 1 species